rnacentral:lncRNA from 1 species
CAGGGAGCUAGGCAGGCUGGGGCCAAGGUUUGGGGUUUGUAGAGAUCCCAGGGACUCUGAUGGACAUGGGAAAAGAAGACUGAGAGUCCUGCUGCCCUGAGGUCAUAAGGUGUCAGCAUGGUGGGGCAGCACUAGAAGAUACAAAGAAAGGAAAUAAAACAGGGGAGGAGGUUUUCUAAGGCCAUCUACUGACUGUGGAAGAACUAGGACCUCCUGACGGUUACAUUGAGACAUCACAUUUUGUAGCAUCUGGGCUGCUUCCCCACUAGGAAGAGCUAUAUUCAGAAUGACUUGAGAAUAAGCUUACCCAAGCUGGAUCCAUCUGCUCUGGGGAAUCCUGUUUCCACAUACUAACAUAUACCACACCCAUUUUUCUCUCCUUAUUAAACCAGCUCCCAGAGGAGGCUGCCAACACAGGCUGAAAGAGCUUGAUUGAUUGUCUGGGGCCCUGUGCAUCAAAAGAAACCUUCUCAUGAAUUUCCAAGGAAAACAAGCCCAGAGACCUUGGUGUUUUCCAGAUCUGGAGGGCAGAAUAGACUAGAAACGAGAGUUUCCAGCAACUCUGUUCCUGGUGCACCUCAGUCCAAAUUUAAUGUUUCUUUCCCUAUUCAGAGCUCCAGUUCCUUAGAAGGACAGUGACAACCUGAGAUAUGUUCAGAGAAGAGUGACUUAAGACUGAGAAGGACACAAAUCCAUGCCCUAAAGAAAUGGUUGAAGAAACCAAGAGAUGGCUGAGUGGCACAAGAUGGCUAUGUUCAGAUAUUUGAAAUGAUUAUCAUGGGAAAGGGAAAUUGAAGCUACGCUCCA